rnacentral:rRNA from 1 species
CGGGACACGUGGUAUCCUGUCUGAAUAUGGGGGGACCAUCCUCCAAGGCUAAAUACUCCUGACUGACCGAUAGUGAACCAGUACCGUGAGGGAAAGGCGAAAAGAACCCCGGCGAGGGGAGUGAAAAAGAACCUGAAACCGUGUACGUACAAGCAGUGGGAGCACGCUUAGGCGUGUGACUGCGUACCUUUUGUAUAAUGGGUCAGCGACUUAUAUUCUGUAGCAAGGUUAACCGAAUAGGGGAGCCGAAGGGAAACCGAGUCUUAACUGGGCGUUAAGUUGCAGGGUAUAGACCCGAAACCCGGUGAUCUAGCCAUGGGCAGGUUGAAGGUUGGGUAACACUAACUGGAGGACCGAACCGACUAAUGUUGAAAAAUUAGCGGAUGACUUGUGGCUGGGGGUGAAAGGCCAAUCAAACCGGGAGAUAGCUGGUUCUCCCCGAAAGCUAUUUAGGUAGCGCCUCGUGAAUUCAUCUCCGGGGGUAGAGCACUGUUUCGGCAAGGGGGUCAUCCCGACUUACCAACCCGAUGCAAACUGCGAAUACCGGAGAAUGUUAUCACGGGAGACACACGGCGGGUGCUAACGUCCGUCGUGAAGAGGGAAACAACCCAGACCGCCAGCUAAGGUCCCAAAGUCAUGGUUAAGUGGGAAACGAUGUGGGAAGGCCCAGACAGCCAGGAUGUUGGCUUAGAAGCAGCCAUCAUUUAAAGAAAGCGUAAUAGCUCACUGGUCGAGUCGGCCUGCGCGGAAGAUGUAACGGGGCUAAACCAUGCACCGAAGCUGCGGCAGCGACGCUGAUGCGUUGUUGGGUAGGGGAGCGUUCUGUAAGCCUGUGAAGGUGUGCUGUGAGGCAUGCUGGAGGUAUCAGAAGUGCGAAUGCUGACAUAAGUAACGAUAAAGCGGGUGAAAAGCCCGCUCGCCGGAAGACCAAGGGUUCCUGUCCAACGUUAAUCGGGGCAGGGUGAGUCGACCCCUAAGGCGAGGCCGAAAGGCGUAGUCGAUGGGAAACAGGUUAAUAUUCCUGUACUUGGUGUUACUGCGAAGGGGGGACGGAGAAGGCUAUGUUGGCCGGGCGACGGUUGUCCCGGUUUAAGCGUGUAGGCUGGUUUUCCAGGCAAAUCCGGAAAAUCAAGGCUGAGGCGUGAUGACGAGGCACUACGGUGCUGAAGCAACAAAUGCCCUGCUUCCAGGAAAAGCCUCUAAGCAUCAGGUAACAUCAAAUCGUACCCCAAACCGACACAGGUGGUCAGGUAGAGAAUACCAAGGCGCUUGAGAGAACUCGGGUGAAGGAACUAGGCAAAAUGGUGCCGUAACUUCGGGAGAAGGCACGCUGAUAUGUAGGUGAAGCGACUUGCUCGUGGAGCUGAAAUCAGUCGAAGAUACCAGCUGGCUGCAACUGUUUAUUAAAAACACAGCACUGUGCAAACACGAAAGUGGACGUAUACGGUGUGACGCCUGCCCGGUGCCGGAAGGUUAAUUGAUGGGGUCAGCGCAAGCGAAGCUCUUGAUCGAAGCCCCGGUAAACGGCGGCCGUAACUAUAACGGUCCUAAGGUAGCGAAAUUCCUUGUCGGGUAAGUUCCGACCUGCACGAAUGGCGUAAUGAUGGCCAGGCUGUCUCCACCCGAGACUCAGUGAAAUUGAACUCGCUGUGAAGAUGCAGUGUACCCGCGGCAAGACGGAAAGACCCCGUGAACCUUUACUAUAGCUUGACACUGAACAUUGAGCCUUGAUGUGUAGGAUAGGUGGGAGGCUUUGAAGUGUGGACGCCAGUCUGCAUGGAGCCGGCCUUGAAAUACCACCCUUUAAUGUUUGAUGUUCUAACGUUGACCCGUGAUCCGGGUUGCGGACAGUGUCUGGUGGGUAGUUUGACUGGGGCGGUCUCCUCCUAAAGAGUAACGGAGGAGCACGAAGGUUGGCUAAUCCUGGUCGGACAUCAGGAGGUUAGUGCAAUGGCAUAAGCCAGCUUGACUGCGAGCGUGACGGCGCGAGCAGGUGCGAAAGCAGGUCAUAGUGAUCCGGUGGUUCUGAAUGGAAGGGCCAUCGCUCAACGGAUAAAAGGUACUCCGGGGAUAACAGGCUGAUACCGCCCAAGAGUUCAUAUCGACGGCGGUGUUUGGCACCUCGAUGUCGGCUCAUCACAUCCUGGGGCUGAAGUAGGUCCCAAGGGUAUGGCUGUUCGCCAUUUAAAGUGGUACGCGAGCUGGGUUUAGAACGUCGUGAGACAGUUCGGUCCCUAU